AAAUACAUCGCUUGGAUUGUUGCUCUCCGGCGUGCGUUGUCGAGGAAGGCGUCGUAUAGGGUUGUAAACCUCUCUCUUCUCAGGGAAGAACACAAUGACGGUACCUGAGGAAUCAGCAUCGGCUAACUCCGUGCCAGCAGCCGCGGUAAUACGGAGGAUGCAAGCGUUAUCCGGUGAUUGGGCGUAAAGCGUCCGCAGGUGGCUGUGUAAGUCUGCUGUCAAAGAGCAAAGCUCAACUUUGUAAAGGCAGUGGAUACUACACAAAUAGAGUGCGUUCGGGGCAGAGGGAAUUCCUGGUGUAGCCCAGAAAUGCGUAGAAUCAGGAAGACCUACGGUGGCGAAGGCGCUCUGCUAGGCCGCAACUGACACUGAGGGACGAAAGC
rnacentral:rRNA from 1 species